CCUACGGGAGGCAGCAGUGAGGAAUAUUGGUCAAUGGGCGCGAGCCUGAACCAGCCAAGUAGCGUGAAGGAUGACUGCCUAAGGGUUGGAAACUUUUUUUAAAAAGGAAUAAAGGGAAGCACGGGUGCCCUUUUGGAUGUACUUUAUGGAUUAGGAACGGGUAAAUCCGUGCCAGCAGCCGCGGUAAUACGGGGGAUCCGAGCGUUAACCGGAUUUAUUGGGUUUAAAGGGAGCGUAGAUGGGUUGUUAAGUUAGUUGUGAAAGUUUGCGGGUCAACCGUAAAAUUGCAAAUGAUACUGGCAGCCUUGAGUACAGUUGAGGUAGGCGGAAUUCGUGGUGUAGCGGUGAAAUGCUUAGAUAUCACGAAGAACUCCGAUUGCGAAGGCAGCCUACUAAACUGCCACUGACAUUGAUGCUCGAAAGUGUGGGUAUCAAACAGGAUUAGAUACCCCUGUAGUC
rnacentral:rRNA from 1 species